AAUAAGUUGGCAGAUUAGUGCAUGUAAUUUAGGUUUACAAUAUAAAUAAUUUUACUUAUU
rnacentral:tRNA from 1 species